UCCAAAGAUCAAGGUCCUUGCAAGUAGUGCUGUGUUUUACACACCAUUCUUGAGGCAGAUAUGGACAUGGUUAGGGCUGGUUCCAGCGUCCAGAAAGAAUUUUUACUCGUAUCUGAAAGCUGGCUAUAGUUGCAUAGUAGUGCCUGGUGGUGUUCAGGAAAUUAUCCAUAUGGACCAUAAAUCUGAGAUAUGGUGAGGAAGAAGGUGAUGAGGAAGAAGGUGAAGGAGAAGAAGAUGGCUUGAGUAAAUGUAUAGGGAAGAAGUUGAAGAAGCUUCUGCAGUGUCAUAGCCAUUGUAAAUAAUUUAUGUAAAAGUUUAUAAAUAAUUUAUGUAUCUCUCUACUAUUUUGGUGAAUGUAUUAUUUGAAUAUAAUGGGAUUUGAUAUUGAAAUAUAAUUAGAUUGUGUUGGAUAUGAAUAUAA